GUAGCUAAUGAAAUGAUCAGCUUGAUCCAUUACUGGGAGCCUCCUCUAUAGCAAGCCUACAUUCGUGUAUCCUCGCUUGAUCACUCUUUGAUGAAGAGGAUUUAAUUGCUAAUAUGUGGAUCAGGAGCAGCGCUCCACCCUCAUCCAAUUUCCGAUGCUUCUCUGGCUCUCCUCCUACAGAGAUGACGAUUUAGUCUCCCAAGGCAAUGAUUCAGGUUUAUAAACGAUCGCUCCUCUCCUCCUACCGCUCCUCUUCCACUCGAUCCAGCUGAUACAUAUGAUUGUUCCACACUCAAAGCUUGGCCCAACUCAUUACUGUGUAACCCAUCCGAGUUCAUUACUGUGUACCAAUUCGACAUCAAUUCCUCAAUCCAUC